rnacentral:tRNA from 1 species
ACCAGGGUGGCUCAGUCGGUUAAGCGUCCGACUUUGGCUCGGGUCAUGAUCCCACGGUUCGUGGGUUCGAGCCCCACAUCGGGCU